rnacentral:rRNA from 1 species
CCUACGGGUGGCAGCAGUGGGGAAUAUUGCACAAUGGGGGAAACCCUGAUGCAGCCACGCCGCGUGCGUGAAGAAGUCUCUCCGUAUGGAAAGCUCUAUUAGCAGGGAAGAAAAUGCCGCUACCUGAUUAAGUAUCCACGUCUAAAGCCGUUCCAGCAGCCGCGGUAAUAAGUGGGGGGCAAGCGUUAACCCGAAUUACUGGGGGUUAAGCGGAUGUAGUGGGCACAACAAGGCCGGCGUGAAAUGCUGUGGCUUAAACUCGGAACUGCAUUUGAAACUGGGCAGCUAGAGUGCAGGAGAGGCAGGUGGAAUUCGUGGUGUAGCGGUGAAAUGCGUAGAGAUCACGAGGAACCCCGAUUGCGAAGGCGGCCUGCCGGAGUGUAACUGACGCUGAUGCUCGAAAGCGUGGGGAGCAAACAGGAUUAGAUACCCCGGUAGUC